rnacentral:lncRNA from 1 species
UGUGUUACAGAGCCCUAAGUAGGUCGGGCCCAACGUUGCCAAGAUCUGGAGAAGGACAGUAGACUGCUGCCUUCAGCUCCUGUGUUGAGAAUCUUGUCAGGAUUGCUUCUAUUUUCCAUGAAGGGUAAAAGGAAGGUGACUCUCCCUAUCUCCUACACUGGCUGCCAUGUGGCUGUGACAUAAGCUGAAGUGGACAGUGGAGGAGUGA